GCCUUCGUGGUGUAGUGGUCAGCACGCUCGAUGCGUAACCGAGAGGUCCGUGGUUCGAUUCCCGGGGAAGGCU
rnacentral:tRNA from 1 species